rnacentral:siRNA from 1 species
AGCUACCAUACAGUCUGAUCCGAA